UUCCCAAAUUUUCUCUUGUCUUUUCUCUUUCAUUUGUGUGCGGCUCCUCUUCCAGAUCCUGAACCCUGAACCACGCGGGAGGUGGAGGGAAACAUUUACGACAUCUGGCGCCCGUCGGGAAAUCUGGAAGUGAAGGUUUCGCUAGAGCGGAAAAAACAAAGUUUCACCGGCAAGGUGGGGAACAAAGAAUUCACCAUAAAGAACAUGUUCCUCAUCCUCCCGGUAGAUGCAUUGCAGUGUUCCUUCCUCAAGGCUUGGAAAUCUCUCUCCCCUUUGCACUCAGAAACCUGUGUCGGAGUAAUCUGCUCAUCCGUCGCUCAGAGUCUGCUGGUCAGCCCCGGCACUUUUCUGUGCAGGACUCACAUGUGGAACACACCGAUGGGUUGUCCAGAUGAACCUUCAGAUGGUCUUCCCAGGCAUGGAGGGCCCAAAGUUCGAGUGCGGGGGAGACUUGGAGCCAUUCCGAAGGGACCUAGCUGUUACGCCCUCCCGAAGAGCAGCCAGAGGCACUGGGCUGGUAACAUGGACAGCAGGUGGUUCGGAAGAGACUUCAAGUGGCUUCAUUUUCUCUAUGGGAUAGUGUGGCUGCCUCUCCCGCGUUCCCAUUUAGUAGCAAAGUAGGAGGAAACUAUUCAGCUAAAUGUAGUAAGAAAAAUGAGGGAGUCACAUGAUUGAUUAUGAGACAAAAGAACACUUAGUCCAGAGGACUAGGAAAUUUAACUCCCAGGAGCUCUUUCUGAAGGGGUGAAACCUUAUUUGUCUUCAUGCUACAUGUGGUCAUGAUCUCUAACUUUAUGACAUUUUCUAGAUCCAAACUCAUAAUGUAGAACAAAAACUUAGCAUAACCAAUACCCAAAGAUUGACAUUAUAUAGCUUUUGGUCCUCCCUUACCUCAAGUUUCAGAAAACCAAUCAACUCCCCCUUGACUAGUGUGUUCGCCUGCAUUUCCCCUGGACUUCACUGCGCUUUUGCUUCUCUCCUCCCCUCACACAGAACUCCAACUUUCUUCACUCAGCAACUUCCUUCCAUGUAGGCGCACAAAUGGAGUAUGAGUUACCAGAGAGGAGAGGUGUCCCCCAUCACAGAAUGUAGAGCAAGGAGGUUGCAAGUGGAGGAUUCUGUGCAGGAGUUAGAAGUAUACACACACACACACACACACACACACACACACACACACACACACACUGUUGUAAUGUACCCCGCGAAUAACACAAGGAUACCUCAAGAAGUUGAAUUAAGGAGUCACAUUUAUUUUAAAUCCGGGACUACAAGGGGACAUUUUGCUCUCCAAAUCUCGUAGUGAUAAGAUGGCCGCAACACCAGAUUUAUAUAGGCAAAAAUCACAAAGGUAUUGAUUACAUCUUGGGGUUUGGAAUGAGGAACCU